rnacentral:lncRNA from 1 species
UUUCUGGUGACAGAUUUUAUUUCAAAUAUUAAUCUUUCAGGGCUUAUGCUGAGUGGAGGUCAAUAAAUUCAUUUUACUGAGGAACAAAAAUGGAUAAAGCAAGAUACUAAAUGAUCAGAACAUGAAGCUCUUUACCAGACCAGAAUGGAGUGAGAAACUGAAUAGGGUUAUAUAUUCAGUUGCCAUAGCUGCCAUAUGGUGCCAACACUGAAUGAAAUAAAAUAAGAGUCCGUGAGGACUGGGAAUCAAUAUUGGGGCAGCCUCCGCAACAACGCUCACUCUGGGAAAGAAAAAGCCCGGCCCCGACAGAAGAUGGCAAAAAACCCAGCCCCAAAUGGCCCAAAUUGUGCUGCAGAGGCAGAGGCGAAGGGUCCCCGAAGGGGCAGCGGGGAUGUGAGUGAGCCCAGGAGGAGCGGCAGAGCCAGCGGGGCCGUGCGGACAGCAAGAGGGGAAAACAGCCGAGAGGGAAAGGGUCGGGACAAUCCUCAGGACAAGGGAAAAGGAGCUCAGCCCGGCAGGACAAUCAACCAGCCAGUAAAUAUGAAUGUAUUUGCCAAGGUGGGAGAAAGUGGAGGAAGGGAUCUUCACAGAAGGUGGAGAGCAGGAAGAGGAGCCAGGCCAGGGAGCCCAGGGAAAAGGCAGUAUCGACCAAUAUCCAAUAUCUCCUCAUGAAGUGACCUUGGGGAUACAGCAGACUUCAGUGCUGAGGACCAAGAGAU